rfam:Ailuropoda melanoleuca scaffold87_102, whole genome shotgun sequence.
GGAUGUGAGGGCGAUCUGGCUGUGACAUCUGUCACCCCAUUGAUCGCCAGGGUUGAUUCGGCUGAUCUGGCUGUCUAGGCGGGUGUCCCCUUCCUCCUCUCCGCUCCAUAUGCGUCCCUCCCGAAGCUGCGCACUCGGUCCAAGAGCACGACCUUCCCCGAUAGAGGAGGACUGUUCUUGGGUCAAGGGUAUAGGAGUAGCUGCGCUCCCCUGCUAGAACCUCCAAACAAGCUCUCAAGAAAAAUGCUAUCAACCUGCUCAGCUAGUUCCUAAUCACACAUCUGAAAAAAAAAAAAAAACUACAAAAUAUAUUGUGUGAUUAUGGUGAGUUUUC